CGAGAGAUCGUUUUAGCUCCAUACGGCUUCUAGGUUUGGGAUCAUCAACGCGAGGAGAAGAUUCCUCUACGAGAGAUGCUAAUUCCCCAGCUAGUGAGAAUAUUCCGGUUUGCUUACUAUCCGGAGGAGGAGGUUUCGAGUGUGUGGAUCGUGCGGGGAUCCACAGGCGCCGCGAAAUGAGGGUUUCGAGAUUGAAACGACGCAACGAUUGCAAAACUAGGUUUCGGUUCCUAAACAUGAGAUCGAGGCAGAAGAUGGAAGGGAACUUACGUUUAGAGACGAAAUCGCGGCGAGAGAGAUAGAUAGAGAGAGGAAGCGGCGCGCGGCGAAACACUGGAGAUGGAGAAGAGAGUAUUGCGGGAAGAGUGAGGAAAAGGAAGGACUAUUUGUUAAAUAAUAUAAAAUAUUUUGUUUUGUUUUUCGAAAUUACAUUAUGAGUCCUUUAAUUGCAGAAUGUUCCUUGUUUUGGACAUGUGUUUUCGAAAUUACAUUAGUGACCAUCUUGCACU